GUAAAGAGAGAUAAAAAACUCCCUAAAGUUUUCAAGUGUUUGUUCUGUAAUCACGAGAACACAGUUGAGGUAUCAAUAAAUAAAGACACUGGCAUUGGAAGUCUGAUGUGUCGAGUUUGUGAAGUGAAAUGGAGUACGCACGCAUUGAAGGUUCACAGGGAGGUAGACGUUUACUCCGCAUGGGUAGACAAAUGUCAGGAGGUUAAUGACUUGGAUGGCCGGCAUAGCAGUGAUGAGAGCAGUGGAGAAUGAACAUAGAUCAAUGGGAGUGUUUGGUGACAAUAAGGGGCAUGAUAGUUUUAUAUAACGCAGCACGAAAACGAAAAAAUAUUUUUUUGUCAUAGAGGAGAAAGCGGUGCGAUAUGACACAAGCCAAGUGUAUAAAUUGUAUUGUUUCAAUAAAUGAAACAAGAGACAGUA